AUAUACACAUAUGUAAUUCGUGGAACAUACGCGAGGGACCACACUUCAACAAAAAAAUAUAAUAAAUAAAUAAAGUAAACCAAUAAUUUUCAAGAAAAUCGUUGGAUAUACGUAAGUAAGGUAAGGCACGUGUUGAGGCUUAAUUUAGACCGACAAAUGUAGUUCAGGGCACAUAAAAGAAUCGUGAUCAUGAGCUUUCGAAACUAAACCAAAUCAAGCAAUGUUUCAGACCACUCAUUUUCAUCAAAUUAUGUUAUCGAAAAGGUUAAAUUUGUUAUAAUAUAGAUGACUGCAUUUCACUAAUCGCCAGAGGUGGAACCUUUAAUAAGCGAUGGAAUAUCUAUCACAUGCUCGUUUUCGGUUCUGUGUUUUGCUUGGACAGCCGGCUCAGCAUUGACUCCGUGGUUCCUACAGCCUAUCUCCUAUAGAAACGGUGGAGGAUAAACUUUUCGUGUUCCUGCUAUAGCUGAAGCUAGAUUAUAAAUCCUACUGAAGUUCCCCAACGGGAAAAGGAUAGAAUUUGCUUGGUUUUCGGCAAGGCAUAACUAUCGUACGAGUGCUAUAAAACUCAGCUUGAACUGAUAUUAAAAACUUUGAAUGAGAUUCCUACUUAUGGAAAGACGUUUUAAGUUCAAGCAACAAAUAUCAACAGUCAUUAAGUUUUAUGGGUAUUCAACUGGAAGUAGCAAAAGCUACAUGUUAUGACUGGAUACUUAAAUUUGGGACCACAGGGAGCAGUAAGCCCUUGGAGUUCGCUCCAAUCUGCUCAUUUAAUUUAGAUUGAGGAGAUUUGUGGUGGUUUAAACGUAAAUGCGUGGAGAAUUCAAAAACUCACUUCAAUGUGGAGUCAUUGUGGCCGGGUACCAGCACGUUAGAAGUCUUAGAUUGGCCUCGAACCGGAGCAAGGUGGAUAGGUGUCCCUUCCACCUUACAAAUUAGAAUCAAAAAAUGCCUUGUCGAUGGCACGUACUCACGUAAAACACACCGGACGUUGGAUGUUGUAGUCACAUUCGCUCAUCUUGGUUUUCUUGCAUACAUAUUUAUCUUAAGCUAAAGGUGGUUGAGACUAUCAGAGGGUAUUGCUUGCAUUUUCCUCCUACUUCACGAGACGAAUCGGGGUGCCUCAUCCAAACCUCCUUCUUUUAUAACACGGACUAUGGUCAAAAUUACGAUGUUAGAAAGUUCCAAAUGCUGAGUUCAGAAACAGCUAGCGUCUCAGUGGCGACCUUUUUCAAUAUAUUCGCUAUUUUUUUUAGAAAUCUACUCUCCAUCAGAGCAUAUCUAUAUCACGUCUGCAAACUAACGGACCUAGGGAUAGAAAGUCAAGGAUUCACCCUACUCGAACUGUUAACAAUUCCGAAAAGCAAUAAAACAUGCCGAGCAAAUACCAAUCCAAAUACAAUUACAGUCCGGGAACUCAACUAAGAUCAAUUACAGCGAUUACGACUGACAAACGGCGCUUCCAAAUAGUAAAUAACAAAAUGAUAUAAAAAGAGAACGGUAAACACUAAAAUAUAGUAAAAUUUAAACAGCUACUAAAACAUUACGCAAGACUUGGCGCCAAUUGAUUGCUUAUCGCUGACAAGCUGACUUUCCACCAAGGCAAACAUUUGUUGUACAACUACACAAACACAACUGUAUUUAUCAAAGAUACGCACAAUAUUUACGAGCGGCGCUGCCGAAAAGGACAUGCUCAGCACAAGGAAGACAAAUGCUGGAAUAAGUGGCUCACGAACAAAAGAAAAGGGCGCAGAAGUGUCACCGAAAUUGAAACAAUAAUAACGCCGAUCAGUAACAACCCGAAAUACAAAAACAAAGAAACAAUUGCAUGCACUUGUCGAGGCGUUGAAGGAGCUAGAAGACAGUUGCACUUGCCGCACAGGCGGGGCACAAACAAAUACACACGACAUCUAGCGAGCAUUGCGCUUAAAUGCAGCGCAGUCCAGCACACUGAUUACGAUCGCUUGCAACGUGGAUGCAUCACAUUGCGUUGUUGUUGUUCAUUUUCUUGCUGCUGUUGAUAAACGAGUCAUUACCAGUUGACGUGAUGCCACACGUUGAGUGGAGCGAGUACAGCUGUAUUUGUUCCCGCAAUGCUAGUUGCAUCAUGUUGCAUGCGCGGAGGAUAUGUGAAGAGGCAACAACAAACGUAAGUUAGUGGCUAUAGCAUGAUACUGUGGCAUAUCCUUAAGAUAUCCUUAUCGUUUGCACAGCACAGUGGUGCAUUGGAGUUCAAAAGUUGGACAAUAGAAAAUGUUAACGGAAUGGAAAGUGGCUAGAGGAAAUCGGUCAACGAUAGUCAAGUGGCGCUUAAGGUGAUCUUAGCGUACAAAAUUAGAACUGCAUAGAACGGCUCAAUACCUUGUCAGUUGGAAAUCAAGCUCGCCUCUGGGUGCCAGGCCACUUGCUUCUGCUACAUGAAGCCGGGAAUCCCGAGCACCUGAUGCAAGACUGAAUAGCAGUCUGUAGAUGGUUCAAUGAAAUCUUGGGGAUUCUAGGCUAGGUUAGGUCAUAGAGUUGAUCCAAAAUCGAUGAAUCUCAAUUGGACAGAUAUUUAUCCUUUGUGUAGCCCAUAAGCUCUUAGGAUAUGAAUCAGCAGAUCCUCAUCCAACGACGUAGCAUUUUGUGCUUAUCACACAUUUUUUAAGCCGGUUAAUAUCAAAGCUCAAAGUGUGUGUCGGAUGACCUCUUAAGGUUCAUUAUAGACCUGAAGAAUCUCGCAGUAGAAAAAGUUCUGGUUGUUUACCAGCGCCCUCAGAACUCACUUGAGAACGCAAGCAAGCAUCGGAUGAAGUUAUGAAUAGACUACCCAGAUCAUUGAUUUUACAGUUUCCAGUGAUUCCGGCUGACGGAGUGGAUGAAUCCUACUCCGUGGCUGCACUCCAAUUCAGAAUAUCUAUUGCAGCCUUUAUGUCCGCCAACUCCGCUUGAAAAACGCUACAGUGGAGACCACUGAGUAGUCUAGUAGCCUGGAUUAUGGUUAAUGGAGAGCUCUCGGCAGAAAACUCCACCACCUACUCUCCCCCUUAACUUCGAUCCAUCCGGGGAAAAGCUCACUACAAUCCUUUUUCAACGGCUUCGGUCUGCCCACAAAAUCCCUGGCAGAUGUGUGAGCUGAGAGGAAACCGUCAACAAAAGAUUAUGCGGUGCAGUAUUCUAGGUUGGAAGGAAGGUAAUCGAGGCAGUGGAGAAUUUAAAUGUUUCUCUGCCGAGGCUCCAUAUAUACCCCGCUUCCUUAAGCCAAAUAGCUGCUUUUGCCACCAAGCACCCAUCAGCUAAGUCUUAAUUUGGAACGUGCAGAAGGCAUUGAGUGCUGGUGUUCCUAAGGAACAAAGCUUCCAUUACCUAAUUAAGCAAGAGAUCAGUUCGAUGAGACAAUCGGUUUGAAAAUCUAAUAUAUAUAGUGCGGAGAUCCUUGCCGAGUGUCGAUUCCAUUUCUGAAAUUUUGAUGCUCUGUAAAGCUGGACGGCCAAUUGUCAAAAGUAUUCUUAAUAAAGGAAAAUCAAGUCGCACCCUCAUGUAAGCAUUGUCUCGAUCCCCAGGGAGCUUAACAUUGCACAAAAAACCGUUUGGGGUCACUGAAAUAAGGCUAGAAGCAUAAAGAAACUCAUUGACCGAAUUUUCAUUUGCAUGUUACUGCGGAAUCGCAACAAAAACCCUCUAUUUCUGAAGUGGAUGGUUACUGGUGAUGAAAACUGGAUCACUUACAACAACGUCAAUUGUAAAUGGUGGCGUUCGAAUCUCCGUGGAUCGGGGUAUACGGUAGUCAAACCAGGAUAAACGGUCAGUAAGAUUUGUGUUUGGUGAGAUUGGCAGAGGAAGCUCUUAAUUCGGUCGUAUACUUUCAAUAAUUGGGCUGUCAGAAGAAAGCAAGAAAUUGGCAGAGGAAUCGUUUACUAUCUUGCAGUCAAACUCCUAAUUUGGACCUAUAUUAUCGCCAAUUAGACCGUCUAAUGAAAGAAAUCACCUAGAAGUGGCAAGUUUGGGCCAAAAAGAGAGGAGUAGUGUUCCAGCAGAUUACCACAAAGCCGCAAACAUAGCUGGUAACUCGCCAAAUGCUGCGUGAGCUUGGCUGGAAGAUUUUUAUGUCUUUAUCUUAUAGUCGGUCCUGCCACUGUCCAUGGCGAAUGAUUUUGCGGCUUCUUUUCUAGAGAAGCUUGUUAAAGUCCACCUUAGUCAGUAUUUUAUCUAAGAGAAAGACGAUAUUGUGUACUUCUUUGUACAACCCGCUCCACUGUAUGCGCUUGCAGUUGCAUUUGCUAAGGAUGCUUGCAGACGUGUGCAAGACUACUUGGACGUGGCAUGGCGCCGUCGAUAAUGACACACACGAACACUCAUACAAAACUCACUCACUACCGAAUGGUUUAUUUAGAAACUAGCUGAAGAGUCUCUAGAUAAGCGCUGCACUACAUAUUGAUAGUUGGAACUGUGCUUGUGUGUGUGUGGCGGCGUGAGAAGUGCAGCAGGUUGCAUACAUAUACUUAUAUAUCCUGUGAGAAGGAUAUUAGGAAAACUGGAAAACCGAAGCAAGGAUGCAGCAAAACUUAAUUGCCGAUGUGCGUGUGUAGUUUCCAAAUGAGUUUUUGCUCGCAAACCAAAUGACUGCGAGGCACUGACUAUUUCUCUAUACAUGUAUGCGUGUGUGUGUGUGCGUUAGUGUGCGCAUAGUUACUAGGUGAUAGAUGGCAUUUCAAACGUUUGCGGCAGCAACGUAGAAUUUACACACUCCGCUCAGCACGUUUGCAGUUGGUAAUGGUGAUGAUUUGAUUAGAGCGAUUGAGUGCCGUAAAUAAAUUACGUGCGUGCGUGGGAAAUGAGCUGAAUUUAUUCCACAUGAAUCAGGCAUGAAUGAAUUGUACAAUUAUGCUGUUUUUGGAUUUUUUUCUGGUGUUUUUGUUUUAUUUUUUUCAAGAAGAAGAAGUUUGCUUAUAAUCUUGACAUUUUUUCAUUGUCUUAUUCGCCACUUAAACGCGCUUAUCAUCGGGGCAACGCCACCGCAUUCGUAUCGCAAAUGAUUAAUUACACAAAUAAGCGCUGGGACACACCCAGAUACGCCAGUUAAGGAAGUUGGGGAAUGUGUGUGGCUGUGUGAAUGAGAAUUUUUUCUGCCACUCAUCAGGGUGGUCAGCGGUCGCAUGCUGGAGUGACGCUUCCCAGCCUGGCGUGAUUCAACUGCCGCCAAGACUAUGCCGUGCCUGAGUUAUUAUUGUUGUAUACAACAAACAUGCGUGCAUAUAUGAAUAUAUUAGGCGGCCUAACCGAGUAUCCUGCUUCAAAGCGCUUGCUGCAACGCUUCCUGUACACCUUUCUGCUCCAAAGAAAUCAAAAAAAAAAAAACACAAAAAUUAUACACCGUUCAUUAGCUGCUUGUUUUUGUUGUUAUUUUUUCUGCGUUGCUCAUUCGCAAAUUGUUGCCAUCUCAUCGCCGUCAGCAGAUGAAUUUGCAUUAAUUGAUCUUUCCCUUGCCUUUUGGCAAUCUCUCUUGGUGUUUUUUUUUUUCUUUUCGUUUUGUAUUCCUUUUCUCCCUCAUUGCCUGCGUUAUCUGUGUUUGCCAAUUUAUUUUUUCUGCUUUCUUACUCAUAUUAUCGCCUCAUUAAUGACAUCUGAAAGGUGUCAAUUAGUGUACGUUCCAGCCGGGUACGCCGCCUGUACGCCGAAAAACACUUCACGAAAAACGCCCGAAAUUUCAGUUAAUUUUGUUGUUGUGUUUUCGGCUUAUUUAUUGUUGCGCAUUAAUUGCUACGUUGUUGUGGUUUUUGUGGCUGUUUUUUUACUCUUUUUUAUUUGUUGUGUUGCAUAAAUUAGUCAGCUCAGCGGUUGAUUGGUUGGUUAGCUGUUUGUUGUUGUUCGGUGUCAUGCUUUUUGUUGGUGUUUUCUUUGGUUUACGUUCAUACGUAGUUAUCGGCUUGUAUUGCCGUAUUUAUCCGACUUGUUAUUACGGGUUUCUUUAAAUUUUAUGUGACUUAAGUGUUGCUUUUGCAAGAGUUCGCCAAAUAUUGCUCUUAAGCUUGAUUUAUGGCCAACUCUUUGAUAAUUCAUAAUUAUUAUGAUUAUUUGAAACACCAAGAAUUUUUCACAUUGCCUAAAUAAAGACUUUUGAUAUAAAUUUUAAUCGCUUCUUAAGCGAAUUUCUGCUGGUCGAAGACUUUUUAGAAAAUUGUGGGCAUACGAAGAAGGAUAAAAGUAAAUUAUUGAAUUCUGUACAUAACUGAUGGCAACAGCCAUCCUUUCAAAAAUUUUGCGUUCAAUUAAAAUUGUAAUCACAAAUUUUUCAACAAUUUUCGAAAAUGUUCUAAUUUUAAAGGAGAGGAGAAAACGUUUGUCAAAGAUCAAAGACCUGUAACAUACUUGCAUGUAUGUAAAAUAGAAAAAUGUUGCUGAAUAAAAAUUGUUUGCGUUUUAACAAGCAUAUAAAUAUAGUAGUGUGGCAUAUCUUUAGGAGCAUUGAGACCAAAAAACUAAAAAACUAUCCAAACUAUCUUUGAAUAAAGACUUCACAAUCACAUUUUAAUUUACGAAUAUAUCUGUCAAAAAAAGAGCUUUAAGGUAUAUAAAAUACAAACGUGUUUGUCGAAACUUCCCAUUUUAAUAAAACGGUGUAACAUACCUUUAGGAGCAUUGACACAAAAAAGGAAUAAUAAAAUAACUAUUCAAAAUAUCUUUCAAAUUAGAAUUCAUAAUCACACGUUAAUUUACCAAUAUUUUCCCCUCAAGAAAUAUUGAAACAUGUCUGAUUUGACUGAAAAGGAAUAGAAUUAAAAAAAUCAAGGUUUUCUAUUAGGAAUGAUAUGAUGAAGUGUCGUUUCGGCCAUUUUUAUUAUGUCAAUUCUAAUUAUAAUAUGUUUUCUUUCUUUGCAUGAAUACAAUUACAUCGUCUUGGAAAGAUAUACGCCAGAACAACAUUUACAAAUUAUUCAGUUUACCACAACCUGUUGGAUUUUGAGAAAGGAUUUGGGCUUGCAUUCAUACAAAAUUAUUCUCACUCAAGAACUGAAGCUAUUGGACCACCGUGAAUGUCGUAAAUUUGCUGAUUUCAUCUUGGAACAGCUUGAAAAUGAUAAGGAUUUUUUUAAGAAAAUCAUCUUCUCUGAUGAGGCUCACUUUUAUCUGAGUAGUAUGAUUACUUUAGAAGAGGAAACCCCAAUCGGUACACUGAAAGAUCCACAACCUGCGAGUAGUCGUCUACCUCAACUCACAACUAAUUAAGAUAGAAAAAUAAUGCAUCCAAAUCUUCGGUAGUGGGUUACACGUUUGAAACAAAACCUGGUUUGAUCGGUCAACUCUCCAAUAAAUUCCAUAUCCUCCUUCUCACGCUGGCGGUCAUCUACAAACUCUUGCAUAAUAUUUAUUAUUAAUAUGCCACUUAUCAAUUUUGUCUACGAUUUUAUAGCAUCAAAGAGCGCGCCAUUCCUCAUUCUAAUUUUUCUCUCAAACAAACUACGAUGUAAGUACGAGUAUGUAAGAACAUGGCAGACACCCCGUUAUGUCGACACUUAACAAGCCCGCAAUGUGCUUAAGGGAUUAUGCCUCACACUGGUGAAUAUUGGACACCCAACAGAGUGUUAAGAACCGGGCACUUCAUCAAAUUGCAACAAACAGCAAUCGAAAGGAAAUCGAAAAACUUCAAACAUUAGAACAAGCGGUACUUUGCUCAAUAGAUACAAUUGACGCUGAUGAUGCGAGCCACAAAAACACGAAGAUACUUGAGCUGUGCAUUUUUUAAAAUACGUCACUUUGAUUAAUGAAUGCCGGAGAUUUUGGAAAACGAAUACAAUAACAACACUAACGAGUGGAUAUUUCAAACAGUUGUGUACAUUUCUUCCACUUUUUUUGGUUUUGGCAGCUAACAAGGAAUGCGCAGGAGCGCCGCUCGGGCAUGUGGCGGAGUAUGGCAAAAAUUGAACAUUACCGAAAUGCUGAAAUGUUUUCAUGUUUUCAUAUUCUACAAUCUCCCAGCCAGUUAUACUGGCUUCAAUUAAAUAGCCAGAAAACAAAAGGGAAAAUAAAAUUUAAACAAUUCAGAAUUCCCUUUCUUCAGUAAUCGAAAAUAUGGAUGAAAAUGAAUAUUACGAGACACAAAUUAUGGUCAACAUAACCAGUCUACUAUUCGCAAAACCAUCACCCAUUUGGGAGCCAUCAUUAAUUAUUGGAAAAUUUUCGACCCGAAUGGAGCACGUUCUGUACGCAGUGAAGAAAAUAUAGCAGCCACAGCUGAGAGUGUACACGCAGACCGCGGAGAGUCGAUCC